rnacentral:rRNA from 1 species
AGUUGGUGAGGUAACGGCUCACCAAGGCGACGAUGCGUAGCCGACCUGAGAGGGUGAUCGGCCACACUGGGACUGAGACACGGCCCAGACUCCUACGGGAGGCAGCAGUAGGGAAUCUUCCGCAAUGGACGAAAGUCUGACGGAGCAACGCCGCGUGAGUGAUGAAGGUUUUCGGAUCGUAAAGCUCUGUUGUUAGGGAAGAACAAGUGCCGUUCAAAUAGGGCGGCACCUUGACGGUACCUAACCAGAAAGCCACGGCUAACUACGUGCCAGCAGCCGCGGUAAUACGUAGGUGGCAAGCGUUGUCCGGAAUUAUUGGGCGUAAAGGGCUCGCAGGCGGUUUCUUAAGUCUGAUGUGAAAGCCCCCGGCUCAACCGGGGAGGGUCAUUGGAAACUGGGGAACUUGAGUGCAGAAGAGGAGAGUGGAAUUCCACGUGUAGCGGUGAAAUGCGUAGAGAUGUGGAGGAACACCAGUGGCGAAGGCGACUCUCUGGUCUGUAACUGACGCUGAGGAGCGAAAGCGUGGGGAGCGAACAGGAUUAGAUACCCUGGUAGUCCACGCCGUAAACGAUGAGUGCUAAGUGUUAGGGGGUUUCCGCCCCUUAGUGCUGCAGCUAACGCAUUAAGCACUCCGCCUGGGGAGUACGGUCGCAAGACUGAAACUCAAAGGAAUUGACGGGGGCCCGCACAAGCGGUGGAGCAUGUGGUUUAAUUCGAAGCAACGCGAAGAACCUUACCAGGUCUUGACAUCCUCUGACAAUCCUAGAGAUAGGACGUCCCCUUCGGGGGCAGAGUGACAGGUGGUGCAUGGUUGUCGUCAGCUCGUGUCGUGAGAUGUUGGGUUAAGUCCCGCAACGAGCGCAACCCUUGAUCUUAGUUGCCAGCAUUCAGUUGGGCACUCUAAGGUGACUGCCGGUGACAAACCGGAGGAAGGUGGGGAUGACGUCAAAUCAUCAUGCCCCUUAUGACCUGGGCUACACACGU